UUAAGACCAUGAAUGCACUGAGAUUGCUAGCUGUCCAUGUAUUACGGAAACUUGGAAAUAUAUUCUGUUUUGAAAGCUUAAACCAGCCCACUUAACCUUGCUUAACUUCACCCCUUUUUGGUUUAACUAAAGAUAAACUUUAGCAUGAAAAACCAUUGAGGAAUAAGUGACAUAAGUCGACUCUUUUAUGAGCAUUACCCCUUGUUGGAUCUACCUUCCACAUGAUGAUGCAAAACUGUCAAAAUGCCUUUCCUUAUGAAAAUUCCAGAUUUAUAGUACCUCUUCAUGUUUAACCUAGGA